UACGGAAGGCAGCAGUGGGGAAUAUUGCACAAUGGGCGCAAGCCUGAUGCAGCCAUGCCGCGUGUAUGAAGAAGGCCUUCGGGUUGUAAAGUACUUUCAGUCGUGAGGAAGGUGUUAAGGUUAAUAACCUUAGCAAUUGACGUUAGCGACAGAAGAAGCACCGGCUAACUCCGUGCCAGCAGCCGCGGUAAUACGGAGGGUGCGAGCGUUAAUCGGAAUUACUGGGCGUAAAGGGCACGCAGGCGGUUAAUUAAGUUGGAUGUGAAAUCCCCGGGCUUAACCUGGGAAUGGCAUUCAAGACUGGUUAGCUAGAGUCUUGUAGAGGGGGUAGAAUUCCAUGUGUAGCGGUGAAAUGCGUAGAGAUGUGGAGGAAUACCGGGUGGCGAAGGCGGCCCCUGGGACAAAGACUGACGCUCAUGUGUGAAAGCGUGGGGAGCGAAACAGGGAUUAGAUACC
rnacentral:rRNA from 1 species